rnacentral:rRNA from 1 species
GGACGGGUGAGUAACACGUGGAUAACCUACCUAUAAGACUGGGAUAACUUCGGGAAACCGGAGCUAAUACCGGAUAAUAUAUUGAACCGCAUGGUUCAAUAGUGAAAGACGGUUUUGCUGUCACUUAUAGAUGGAUCCGCGCCGCAUUAGCUAGUUGGUAAGGUAACGGCUUACCAAGGCAACGAUGCGUAGCCGACCUGAGGAGGGUGAUCGGCCACACUGGAACUGAGACACGGUCCAG